rnacentral:rRNA from 1 species
UACGUAGGGGGCUAGCGUUGUCCGGAUUUAUUGGGCGUAAAGGGCGCGUAGGCGGCGCGACAAGUCACUUGUGAAAUCUCCGGGCUUAACUCGGAACGGUCAAGUGAAACUGUCAUGCUAGAGUGCAGAAGGGGCAAUCGGAAUUCUUGGAGUAGCGGUGAAAUGCGUAGAUAUCAAGAGGAACACCUGAGGUGAAGACGGGUUGCUGGGCUGACACUGACGCUGAGGCGCGAAAGCCAGGGGAGCAAACGGG